rnacentral:rRNA from 1 species
GACAGAGGGUGCAAACGUUGCUCGGAAUCACUGGGCGUAAAGGGCGUGUAGGCGGGCAGGUAAGUCGGGCGUGAAAUCCCUGGGCUCAACCCAGGAACUGCACUCGAAACUACUUGUCUUGAGUGUCGGAGAGGAAAGCGGAAUUCCUGGUGUAGAGGUGAAAUUCGUAGAUAUCAGGAGGAACACCAGUGGCGAAGGCGGCUUUCUGGACGAUAACUGACG